CCAAGGAGUUCAAAUGGCACGCGAGUCAUUGGGUUUUAACACCCGAAGGCGAAGUGAAAUGCAAAUUUAUUGUUAUUUGUGGUUGUUCCAUGAUUAAGCGAUAAGCUACUCAUGCUUUCUGGCAUUUGUAGACUACAAGCGUGAUGUUUGAGACCCGAAAGAUGGUGACCUAUGCCUAGUCAAGAUGAAGCCAGAGGAAACUCUGGUGGAUGUCUGAAGUUAUUCUGACGUGCAAAUCGAUAAUCUGAUCUGGGUAUAGGGGCGAAAGACUAAUCGAACCAUCUAGUAGCUGGUUCCUUCCGAAGUUUCCCUCAGGAUAGCAAGCGUACGUCUUUAGUUUCAUCCCGUAAAGCGAAUGAUUAGAGGUAUUGGGGCGUAUAUAGCCUCAACCUAUUCUCAAACUUUUAAUGGGUGUGAGUGUUCUUUCUCAAUUGAAGAACGCUGCUAAAUAAGUAUGCUUAGUGGGCCAUUUUUGGUAAGCAGAACUGGCGCUGUGGGUUGAACCAAUUGUUGAGUUAAAGUGCCUAAAGCUGGAAUGCGCAUGAGAUCUAUAAAGGGUGUUAGUUGCUGAAGACAGCAGG
rnacentral:rRNA from 1 species